UACGUAGGGUGCAAGCGUUAAUCGGAAUUACUGGGCGUAAAGCGUGCGCAGGCGGUAAUGUAAGACAGAUGUGAAAUCCCCGGGCUCAACCUGGGAACUGCAUUUGUGACUGCAUUGCUGGAGUGCGGCAGAGGAGACUGGAAUUCCUGGUGUAGCAGUGAAAUGCGUAGAUAUCAGGAGGAAUACCGAUGGCGAAGGCAGGUCUCUGGGCUGACACUGACGCUCAUGCACGAAAGCGUGGGGAGCGAACAGG
rnacentral:rRNA from 1 species